CUCCACAAAAAAAUAUCAUUUCACCGCCAUCCACAAGUGGGCGGUUACUUAUUCUCAAAAUGGCCAAAUGUCUUUCCUCUCCAACAGGCAAGCUCCAUUCGAAUUAUGUUAGGGGUUCUUUUGCUUUUGCCAGAUCUAGAGAGAUACUACAAGUUGUCCGUCCCAGAUUCCAUCGCCGCGGCCAUCUGGUUCACCGGUGUAGCCUUCCCAACAUCAAAUUCCCCAAACUCAUAUUUAGAUUUUUACCAAAACUUCACACAACCCUCAAUUCAGCGAUGGUAGCUGCGAGUGCAACCCCAAUCAAGGGCGCCGGAGGCAGGCAAGGCGGCAACAGGAAGAAAUAUACCGAAAUCCGUCAAGGUGACGCUUCAAUUCCGGGUUGUGCGCUUGGCUCGUUUUCUGAAGAAGGGGCGCUACGCCCAGGCCCAGCGUAUGGGCACCGGAGCGCCCAUCUAUAUGGCUUCUGUGCUCGAGUACCUUGCCGCUGAGGUGUUGGAAUUGGAAGGUCCGUGUUGCAUAUCAGGGGGUUCCAGGAGCUUAUAGCGAGGCUGCUACUUUAAAAGCAUAUCCAAAAUGUGAGACUUCCAUGUGACCACUUUGAACUUUUAUUUUUAUAGGUGAAUGAUUUUGUAAUGAAGAUAGAUAGCAGGGAUAUAGAAGUGUUAAAUGCCUUUACCAUGUGGAGAUAUCUUUGGUGUUGAUUGCACUAAUAUAUGGUUUUCUGAAUUUGUGAUGCAUUUUGUCUUUGUGGCUGUAACACAGAGAAUUAGGUUUGCGACGACCCUUUGUUAUUUCUAAUAGAAUUUGCUAUUUCACUUUUGCAGGAGAAGUCAAGGCCAAAAUAAAAAAGGUAUAAUAUAAUCUGUUCUGCACUUUUGGUGUCUGCAUGUGUAGCCAAUUAUAUUGUUCAAGGAGGCAUUAUGAGAUAAGUAUUGCAUGUUAGAGAUUCUUAUAGUUUCUCAGUUAUCUCUGUAUGCAUUAGAACUUCUUGAUGUUACUACUGAGCAAUAUAUUUCACUAGAAUGCGAGUUCUUUUAGAAUCUAUGGGGUUUAUUUAACAGUUAAUCAUGACAGAAGCCCAAGUCUUGCGUUAUUCCUGCUGUUGAGGUUGAACAUCCUGGAUGUUCAUUCAAUCAUCAUCCUAAGAGCCAUCAGGAUGCCUUAGCUCGUGCUGUUGCAGAUGAAAUGCAGAAAAUUUACCAACAUGAAUUGGGGCCUCAGCCCAUCCCUUUAGUUGUCCCUGGUGAAGCUAUUGAUGAAUAUGUUCGUACUUCAUCCCGAACUGGUCACUUGAAGUGGAAAUGAAUAUUGUCCCUCCAUAUUCAUGUGCUUUCACUUAUUUGCAUAUGAAGUUUUCAUGCACUUCCCUCUUAUAUGCGUCAGAAAUAUUUCCUUGAGGCAGAUGCGGAUGAUGGAACUGAUGAUGAUGAUGAUGAACAAAAUGAAAAUCAGGCUGAUGAUGGAGAUGUGGAUACAGAAAAGAG